AAAACUAGAAAUGUGUCCAUAGGACACGGAUGCCCCCACACGUCACUGUUCUGUCAAUCUUAUGACUCUAGGUCAAAUAUUUUUGGACUACAUGUGCCACAAGUUGAAAACUAAAAAUCAACAAAGGGCCAUAAUUCUGUUAAAUUUGGUCGCAGCAAAAAUUCCUUCCUUUACUACCAUCUACACAUUAAGGUUGUUCAUCCCUGGAAGUUUAAGCAAAAUCUGCCAUCCGGUUUAAGAGGAGUUGCAUUCACAAAAUUUCUACAUAGUAUAUAGUGAAAAAAUCAACAAAGGGCCAUAAUUCUGUUAAAUUUGGUCGCAGCAAAAAUUCCUUCCUUUACUGCCAUUUACACAUUAAGGUUGUCAUCCCUGUAAGUUUAAGCAAAAUCUGCCAUCCGGUUUAAGAGGAGUUGCGUUCACAAAUUUCUACAUAGUAUAUAGUGAAAAAAUCAACAAAGGGCCAUAAUUCUGUUAAAUUUGGUUGCAGCAAAAAAUUCCUUCCUUUACUACCAUCUACACAUUAAGGUUGUUCAUCCCUGUAAGUUUAAGCAAAAUCUGCCAUCCUGUUAAGAGGAGUUGCGUUCACAAAAAUUUCUACAUAGUAUCUAGUGAAAAAAUCAACAAAGGGCCAUAAUUCUGUUAAAUUUGGUCGCAGCGAAAAUUCCUUCCUUUACUACCAUCUACACAUUAAGGUUGUUCAUCCCUGUAAGUUUAAGCAAAAUCUGCCAUACGGUUUAAGAGGAGUUGCGUUCACAAGAUUUCGGGACGUACGGACGGACGGACUGACGGACGGACGGACGGACAAGUGCAACGCUAUAUGCACCCACAUUGUGGGGGCAUAAAAAU